GACGUAGGGGGCCAGCGUUGCUCGGAAUUACUGGGCGUAAAGGGUCGGUAGGCGGUGGGGCAAGUCGGUAGUGAAAUCUCCCGGCUUAACUGGGAGGCUGCUGCCGAAACUGCUCUGCUCGAGUGCGAGAGAGGCGAGUGGAAUUGCAGGUGUAGCGGUGAAAUGCGUAGAUAUCUGCAGGAACACCAGAGGCGAAAGCGGCUCGCUGGAUCGCAACUGACGCUGAACGACGAAAGCUAGGGGAGCAAACAGG
rnacentral:rRNA from 1 species